GCCAGCAGCCGCGGUGAUACGUAGGGUGCGAGCGUUAUCCGGAUUUACUGGGCGUAAAGGGUUGCGUAGGCGGAAUGUUCCGUCAAAACUGAAAUAUCUCUGCUCAACAGGGAAUCCGGUUUUGAUACCAACAUUCUUUGAGGCUCGGAGAGGUAACUGGAACUUGCAGUGGAGCGGUGAAAUGCGUUGAUAUUGCAAGGAACACCAAAGGCGUAGGCAGGUUACUGGGAAAGAUCUGACGCUGAUGCACGAAAGCUAGGGGAGCGAAAGGGAUUAGAGACCCCUGUAGUCCUAGCCGUAAACUAUGAACACUAGAUGACCGCCUUUUGGUGGUUGUCGCAAGCUAACGCGUUAAGUGUUCCGCCUGGGGAGUACGGCCGCAAGGCUAAAACUCAAAGGAAUUGACGGGGACCUGCACAAGCGGUGGAGCAUGUGGUUCAAUUCGAAACAAAGCGAAAAACCUUACCAAGGCUUGACAUUCUAGUUGCAAACCGGUGGAAACACUGGCUUCUUCGAGAGUACUAGAACAGGUGCUGCAUGGCUGUCGUCAGCUUGUACCGUGAGGCGCACCCUUAAGUGGGUCAACAAGCGCAACCCCCAUUUUGUGUUACAUUUCACAAGAAACCGCCCGCUAAAAGCGAGGAGGAAGGCGAGGAUGACGUCAAGUCAGCACGGCCCUUUCACCAUGGGCUACUCACAUCCUACAUUGGAUACAUAACAACGAGCUUGCAACGUCGUAAGGCGAAGCUAAUCUCCCAUAAGUAUCCUCAGUUCAGAUUGAGGGCUGAAAUUCGCCCGCAUGAAGUUGAAAUCGCUAGUAAUCGCGGAUCAGCAGGCCGCGGUGAAUAC
rnacentral:rRNA from 1 species